rnacentral:lncRNA from 1 species
CUCGAAGGCUUUUCGCCGCUGGUGUCUGGAGUUCCUCCGCAUUUUAAUUCCGAGAGGUCUCUGAGGUUUUUUGGUGUCUCUGGGGAGCCCCUGCAUUAGAUCUUUCUCCAGACUCCAGCCUGCCUCUCUCCAGCAGCUCUGCUCGAGUUUACAGAUGUCUACAAAGCUUUAGGCUCCUGAGAGAAUAAAGUUUGAGACCUACCAUGACCAUGUCAGCUAAUCGGACCUCUCCCCAGAAAUCCCUGGUCCUGGUUCCAGAGGAACGUGACAAUUCAUAUGAGAUGUUGGUUCUUCAUUGAUCUAUUUUAUGAACUACUUCCAAAAACAUUAAUCCAGGCAGACAAAAAAUAUGAAACUUUGCUAUAAUGUUGAUUUUACUCUGUAACCAAGAGCAUUAAAUUAGAAAUACAAAGUAAGUAUGGUGACUAACAUAAUAUAAUAAAAAA